rnacentral:rRNA from 1 species
GGGGCUAACCCACUUUGGGAUCGGUGGUGAGGGGCAGCCCGAAGAGAGGAGGCGAGGGGUAACGCGGGGAGAGGAGGUUAGGGGCGUCGGCUGCUGCUCCAGAGCGGGAAGCGGCUCGAACGGUGGUGGCGACGAGAGGGGAGCGGUAGUGGCCCUCCUCGCACGUCCGGCGGCGAGCGCAGCAAAGAGGCGUCGGCGGUGGCGGGGAAGGGAAGGUUCGGGCACCUCUACUGCCGCGGCCGCGACCGCGAGCGCCACCAGCCCAUGACCCGACGGGCUGUCGGCGCCCCGGUCCUGCGAGAUACAGCGUUCCCUGGAGUUCGACAGCUGCCGCCCCUGACUCAGCGGCGGCGGCGUAGUAGAAGAGGAGGAGGGGUUGUGGCGUACUCACGCCCAGCGGCAGCGCGGUCUACUCCACCCCGACGUUGGUGCGGGGGAAGUGGAGAAGAUGGGUCGGCACGGUGAGCCCUGCUGUUCUAGGUCGGCGCCGCCGGCUCUAGGUCAACCGACGGUAGCUAUACUCCUCGCGAGCGCGGCGACGAGGCGGCAAGUAGCAGGUGAACCGGCGUUGGUAGGUGUUCUUCUCCACUACAGUGCCGUCGUCCCAGGAGUGGACAGAGGCGAGGGAGCAGAGGGGGAAGACGACCGUUCCCACGACUCGUCGUUGUCAAGGUAGAGGGAGGGGUUGCGUAGUAACGGAGUAGAACUCGACGUUACUUGGUCUCCACGGUUCAGAGAGGAAUGAGAAAGUACCUCUUAGGUAAAAAUAACAGUGUACAAACUACCAAAAGAGGAGAGUCGGGUCUCUUUCUCUAAACUACACUACUAACUCCAUCUUCCGUACCUAACAAACCCCGAAGAGACUUUAUUCGAAGAGAUUACGUCCUUUUGUUGUACUUACUCGAAUUCUCUAAAUUACUUCUCUACUUAUGUCAGCCUCGGACCCUAAAAAUAUGUGUCUCUACCACGUAUUUAUUCGUUAUGUUUUUUACGCGUUUACGAAACGGUCUUAAAGCAACCAGGAGAGUUUUAACACCCCUUUGGUUCUAACUUAAAUCUCUACAAAGUAUACGAACCGGCAACUGUGUGGAGAGAAGUUCCGUUCCAGUAAAGGUUCCACUAAUGUCGCGAUCCUGGACGGGGACUAUUCUUGGUCCCGUGGGCAAAUUUGUCUUACUACUGACACACUCCGAAUUUUAUAGCGGUAGUAUCGUCCCCACUACGACAGUGAAGGUACUAGGUGGUCUUACUUCUAGCGUGAGUCACGACGUUCCCCCGAACGGAAGGACGUGCUUCGACUCUUCGGUCAACAGAUGUACCUAAGUUCUGUAGGUUGUAUAACGAGCUGCUCCUUUUGUUGUACUUACUCUAAUUCUCUAAAUUACUUCUCUAUACUGUCCUAAUCCGCCUCUACUACUUUCCGAAACAUUUUCAGUCUAUUAACCAACUUGACGAAAACCUUCUCCGUCGUCCUUCGUAUCUUCUGUACCACGGUACCUCUAAGUUUCAUGCCUUUCUACCUUCUCUUGACAGUAUAGAAUAUAAACAACCAGUUUAUUUUUGCUGACUACCAACUAACAGAGUUGGUGCUUACUCGUAAAGACCUAACAUCUUGUUUCUCACAGGGCCCGUUUUCCUGGUUCAAAACCGCCCACCCGUAGCCCUCAGGUCAACCAACCGAAGUCGGAAUCUCCACGACAGCCGAUCGCCGCGGCGAAGACUCACAGAGGAGUUGAGUGAGGGCACCGUGGAAGCCGGUCAUUCUAAAGGGGAAGAGAGAGAGAGAGAGAGAGAGACUGGCAGGCUAGCUAAAAACAAAUAAUUAGAAAGAAUAGGUAUUACUAAUAGGGAGAAACAAAAUAACAUAACAAUCGGUUAAUUUUCAUAAAAUAACAUGCACAUAUAAAAAGACAUACCAUAUAUAAUACGCUCAAUAAAGAUUGUGUAGAACUAGUAUAAAAAUCUUAUCGACGAGGAUAUGAAAAAAUCACGGACGACAUGAAACGAAUUUACAAAGAAGAACCUUCCUAUUCAACAUUUAUUACCUACUUCUUAUGGAAAAGCUCGAAUUCGUAAACUAAAGACCGCUACACCACAAAAGAGAAAUGUCUACUAGGAAGACGAAAGAAAAAAUUAUUUAUCUAUUCAACCUAGGUCACACAGAGGUACACAGGUACACACAAAACCCACUUAUGCGUUACUUUGGUCCCUUUCACCGGAGAUAAACUGUAACAGUACGACUUUCUAAGUAAGUGUACAGACAUUGAAACAUAGAACCAAGACAAAGAUAACAAUCAAGAUUUUCUAUGUAAGUGAAUAACCGCUGAAAAUUGAGACAUUGUACAGAUAAGAAUCACAUCUAUAUAAAAAAUAAGAUCGACGUAACGACACUCGCUCGUCUAAAGAAUACCCCUUACCACUACUAACGAACUCGAAAGUAAAACUAGGGGAAACAAAGGGUUUGUAUCAAAAGCGUGUCAGCUACAUACAUGACCAAGGCCUAUGAGGUACAUCGCCAAAAACAAACAAAAUAAGUAUAUUCAUGAUCUAAGGGCAUGUUUUGUCUCUACUUGACGUGAUAUACAAAUGACUAGACAACCCGGGUUUAUUUCACAGAAGCACGAAGUGAAAACCGAUGAAACUAAGAUUACGUGUAUACACGUAAGGAAAAACAGUAAGUGAAACAAUAAGUAAACUAAAAGGUAAAGAAGUAAAAAUUACUGUUUCGUACAAAAAAAAACUUAAUCGAAUUUUAGUGUUAGUUUCUCAAUUGAAAAAUGAAUUAAAAGUAUUUGUUGAUAUAUACCGAAUUCUUUCCACUUCUCGUUCCGGUUAGUCCUAAAUAGAUACCAACCAAAGAACUAGGUCCUAACAAUUGUUCCAAAUGAUUUCCAAGUACACUUCACGGUGGACACUUCAACUAGCUGUUCCGUCAACUUACUUCGGUGAAUAAUCGUGGAACGAACGAGAAGAAAGAAAAACCUCGGUUUUCUAGGUAGCCGCGAGGUAAUGGCCCGAAACUAAACUUCUCUGACGACCCGUUCCGAUAGAGCCAGUAGAAGCCAAACUAUGUAUCCAGUUUGGUCCUGAGUGUGUGAGAGAGCGGCUAUAAAGUGAAGCUAGGGCACUUAUAUAGCAGAAGAUGCGUGCCGCCGCGACGGAACCUAGCCGGGAGGUAGCGCGGCGAAACAAGCAGUGGUGCGUAGAGUCGAGGUUAUUGGUCCAGUGCUACCGACUACUACUCGAGGUCCGAGGCGACCGAGGUGGUUGUCGACAGACGCUCGUGAACGUGUCCAGUCGACUCUACGCAGUGCAGGGGAGACCAAAUAGAUCUGCCGACGUUUUCAUACCAGUCUUUAAUUUCUCCCCUCGGUUUACUCUCGUGCCGAAUCUUUAUCGGUCCCAUCAGGUUCCAGCUUAGGUCCUUUUAAACUGUUACCUAAGUCAAUCAUAUGUUUAUACGUGUAACUUAAUUAUAUUACCCGAUAAAGGGGUACGGGCGUGUGUGUGAGCUCCCGACCUGCGCUCAUGUACUCGAUUAGUUAAGAUCCAGGCAACACAACAGAACCCCACACUAGUCUCAAAACCCCCUAGUUGUCUCAAAUCAUUGCCUAUCGUCUCAAAACGUUACAGGCGUGAAAGUCUUUCCCUCCCGCACCAGGACAAAGUGGAGGUGCUCCGAGGCGGUCACGGUCAUACACUGAGUCGUCAGAGAUGUUAGCUUCCUCUAUGAGAGUCUAUAUCCGUCACGGUAGGCGUGUUUCUUUGUAUGCGUACUAGAUCCUUAUAGUUUAUUUAUUACUAUUAACGUAGGUACAGAACCCUACUAAAUUUGAGAUAAAGCAACUAUGACACAUCCAUCCAAAGAAAUCUUUCUGGUUCGUAAUAUGCUUAAACGAAAGACAGAAAGGUGUUAUAUACUAGCAUAGUCAGAAUGGAAGACUCGAUGAGAACGAUACCGUCGGACUAAUGGUCUCUGAAUCGCAGAGAAUAAAUAGUGAUACGAAAAAAAGUUUAAGGAGAGGACAUAACACUAGAGUUAACGAAAUUCGUCUCGUCAAGGGGACUGAAAUGAAAAACACAAGAACCCAGGGCAUAUCUUGUCAAGAACUGUCGGAGGAUCGUGUGGAACCCGCACGAUAAUCUACCCCGGAGAGGAUUAAGUGUUGACGAGGAUACGGAUAGUUCCACUAAAGCAGAACGACAUGUACAUAACGUGAAGGUCCUACGAACUCACGUCUUUAGUAACAUGAGGUAUAUAGAGUGUUAAACAAACAUAGUCCAAGUAUACUCCGUCUACUUAAUGCGGUGUACAAUCAUACGAAUCACUAAUACCGAGGCAUCAACCGAUCGGAAUACACAAGAGCGAAAAACAUAACUUGAAACACAACUUACCGGCAUAAAACACCAGCCGACUUACGUGGCUCGAACUAGAACAGAAUAUAAGACUACAACUAGAACUCUAGGUAACACAAAAUGAAGACAGUGUUAACUUCCAAAGAAAUGAAGUAAUAGUAGGACAUAUUCACGUUUACGAUAUGAACCCAAGGAUAACCGUACAACAAUGUACGAAUGCGUUUUGCGACUCUGGCCGUGGGAGUGCGGUUCCGCGCUAGGGUU